rnacentral:rRNA from 1 species
GAUGAACGCUGGCGGCGUGCCUAAUACAUGCCAGUCGAGCGAACGGACGAGAAGCUUGCUUCUCUGAUGUUAGCGGCGGACGGGUGAGUAACACGUGGAUAACCUACCUAUAAGACUGGGAUAACUUCGGGAAACCGGAGCUAAUACCGGAUAAUAUUUUGAACCGCAUGGUUCAAAAGUGAAAGACGGUCUUGCUGUCACUAAUAGAUGGAUCCGCGCUGCAUUAGCUAGUUGGUAAGGUAACGGCUUACCAAGGCAACGAUGCAUAGCCGACCUGAGAGGGUGAUCGGCCACACUGGAACUGAGACACGGUCCAGACUCCUACGGGAGGCAGCAGUAGGGAAUCUUCCGCAAUGGGCGAAAGCCUGACGGAGCAACGCCGCGUGAGUGAUGAAGGUCUUCGGAUCGUAAAACUCUGUUAUUAGGGAAGAACAUAUGUGUAAGUAACUGUGCACAUCUUGACGGUACCUAAUCAGAAAGCCACGGCUAACUACGUG